rnacentral:sRNA from 12 species
UGACCACUUCCCUUAUAAAGGAUGUUAAGGCCAUACGGACAGCCGGGUCAAAUGCCGA